GGCAGAAAAGCCUCGGAGAAGAAGUGGUUUAGCCCUUCAGGCUGGGAGGGUUCCAAGGAGGCGAGAGGCUUGAGCCGGGGUGGAUCAAAGAUGCGUGCGGAGCCGGAAAGCAAAGCGAGAAAGUGCUGCUACGUAGAGGAACUCUGAGCACUUCUGCCUCGUGAAAGACGCCAGAAGCCUGUGAUUGUACCCAAGGAAUUCUGUUUCCUUAUGGGUUCUUGCGACAUAUCCAGUAUAGUUCCCUGUGCUACACAGCAGUGCGUGCGGUGAUGAAUGGAUGAGCAGAACGUGGCCCCCACACGAUGGGAUGCAGUUCCGCUUAAAAAGGAUGGAAGCUCUGCCAGCUGCCCCAGCCUGGAUGGACCUUGAGGACACGGUGCCCAGUGAUGAUCGGACACAGGAGGCCAGACACCGUGUGGUCCCACUCCUGCAGUUGUCUUCUGUGGACCGUGGUCUUGCUGCCCAGCUCCGAGUGGCUGUAUUCCCAGGGAGGGGCUUACUCCAUCUCCAGGGAGCCUAGCAAUCCCCAGCCAGUGUAAGUAGCAGAGGAGUUUCGAAGGUGGACUCGGGGGCCUGGGCUUCAAUCCUGGCUCCUGUUGCGUGUGCCUCAGUCUCCUCACAUGUCAAAUGGGGGUCACAGAGUGACCCGCUGAUGAAGGGCCCUGGGGUCCCUUGACUGAGAAUCGGUGUUGCUGGACACACAUGCUGGCCUCUCCCUUUCAAGCAGAACUUCCUGAGGUUCGCUAACGAAGGCUCCGAGGUCUGCGCCUUCCCCACCCCUGGGGCUGGGGCAUAAGCAUGACAAGGUUUUUCUGCUCAGAAACUCGGCCUCUGUCCACCGUCCCGAACAGAAAUGGGGAAACGGAGUUUUGGGUGACGGAGAAAAAGACAGCUCUAUUGCUUUGCUAGGCAAAGGAGGCCACAGCAGCCUAUCGCCUUAAAGACUGUGCCCCCACCCCCGGGAGCGAUCAGGAGGGUUUACAGUUUGGGGAGCGGAAAAUAGGGCCGCAGACGAGGAUCAGGGCAGAGACAAGCCUGCAGUGUUCAGCGGCCGCAGGACUGGUGCUGGUGGCCUCCUUUCCGGAGUGAAGAAUGUUCCAUCAAGCAGUUAACAUCUCCCCUGUGUCAAGGGGUUCACGCACAUUCCUGGAGGCGGAACGGGGACCCAGCCCCACGUCUGAACUGCUAUCUCUUGACGGCUCCUCCCUGGUCUCUGCAUCCUUCCCUUCCCGGAUGAGCAGCUGCGUGAACCUGAACCUGCCCUUUGGAGCGCAGUCAUGGAGGCUGACGCUUAGUCCCUGAAAAUAAGAAACGGGGGACACAGAAGGGCGUGUGUGCCCAGGAGCCCCACAGCUUGGUUUCACGUCUUCCCCUGCUGACCACAAGGCACUUCUCCAAGGACACCUCAGGCAGCCCUUAACGGAGAUGGGGUUCGUGAUUUAGGCAUCGGCAGUCACCUCCUCAGGCCUGGCAGCACCUCUCUGCAGGAACGCAGACGUGCAGGUGGUGACACAGAAGCGGCAUGUAAACAUCCUGACCUGACGGCCUUCCGUCCUCAGGACAGUUUGGUGAGGUCACGGCCAGAUCAGGACAGAGAAGGACACAUGAGGGCCAGGUGCACACCUGUUAGAGCCCUGGGUAUCCACUUCCACUUUUCUCCUGCCCCUCCCUGAUGCUCCACUUUACUCUGGUUCUGGUUCUUUGGCUCAGAGUUAGGGUUAAAACAUAAGCAGAGAUGGGACACCUCCCAACUUCUGAUGGCAUGACAACCAGUAAGUGAAGAGAGAGAAUGGAAAUUUUAAAAAGCACUAUUUGGAGGUGUUUCCGUCGUGGCUCAGUGGUCAACGAAUCCGACUAGAAACCAUGAGGUUGUGGGUUCGAUCCCUGACCUCACUCCGUGGGUUAAAGAUCUGGCAUUGCCGUGAGCUGGGGUGUAGGCCACAGACGCAGCUCAGCUCCUGCCUUGCUGUGGCUCUGGCGUGGGACAGCAGCUGCAGCGCCGAUUAGACCCCUAGCCUGGGAACCUCCAUAUGCUGUGGGAGCGGCCCCAGAAAAGGCAAAAGACUAAAUAAAUAAAUAGCAAGCACUAUUUGGCAA
rnacentral:lncRNA from 1 species